rnacentral:rRNA from 1 species
UGGGGAAUAUUGGACAAUGGGCGCAAGCCUGAUCCAGCCAUGCCGCGUGAGUGAUGAAGGCCCUAGGGUUGUAAAGCUCUUUCACCGGUGAAGAUAAUGACGGUAACCGGAGAAGAAGCCCCGGCUAACUUCGUGCCAGCAGCCGCGGUAAUACGAAGGGGGCUAGCGUUGUUCGGAUUUACUGGGCGUAAAGCGCACGUAGGCGGACUUUUAAGUCAGGGGUGAAAUCCCGGGGCUCAACCCCGGAACUGCCUUUGAUACUGGAAGUCUUGAGUAGGGUAGAGAUGAGUGGAAUUCCGAGUGUAGAGGUGAAAUACGUAGAUAUUCGGAGGAACACCAGUGGCGAAGGCGGCUCACUGGACCAUUACUGACGCUGAGGUGCGAAAGCGUGGGGAGCAAACAGG